UAGUCCACGCCGUAAACGAUGGGUACUAGGUGCCUGGGGGAGCGACCCCUUGGGUGCCGGCGCUAACGCAGGAAGUACCCCGCCUGGGGAGUACGACCGCAAGGUUGAAACUCAAAGGAAUUGACGGGGGCCCGCACAAGCGGUGGAGCAUGUGGUUUAAUUCGACGCAACGCGAAGAACCUUACCUAGGCUUGACAUGCAUGGGAAACUCCUCAGAAACGAGGAGCCUCCUUCGGGAUCCAUGCAC
rnacentral:rRNA from 1 species